CAGAACUUCCGGCGGGCUGGCUGGAUUCCUGCCGAGACCUGAUCCCCGAUCGUGCUUGCAGUGGGAAACCCCCACGUGCCCACAGUGGGGCUGAGCGCUCAGCUGUGAGCAGAGCGGCUGGGGGAGCCCGCGGGCUCUGGCCAAACGACCUCCAAAAUCUUGGGCUGCACCCGGGGCUGUGUCGCAGAAUACGCUUCCCAUUUGCCUUGCCAUUGAAACCCUACCCUUCUUUCAAAGCAUGGUUCGAAAGUCACCUGCUCCAGGAAGCCCUCUUCAGCCCUUGCAGACCAAUAGACCUUGACUCAGUAAAGCUAACUCUCCUUCCACACCCACCCUUCUGGAGUGAUAGUCAAAGUGUGCGACCACUUGCCAGGCUGGAGUCCACCUUAAUCCUUUGUUUGCUGGGGAGGUCUGCAAACCAUACAUGGAGGGUCUUGUGGAGGCUCCUGACCAUUAGGUGGAAUAAGAUCUUGGUAGCUGAAUGAGUGGUCCAACUGCACCGUCACGUCACCGCCAGGGUCUUCCUGUUGCCUCAGGUGAGAGAGGGAAGCCGCUUUCUUUAUCCCAGAAUGUCUAACUGAGGGGGUCUCAAGGUUCAUCUGCCCCCAACACUUCUGUUUUUAGAUUCAUCAGAGAAACAUUUUGUGGACAGGCGGUUUUCCCCAGACCCUGUGCUGGGAGCCAGAGCAGAGAGCCGUGUCAGGAGGCCCUCAGUCGGUGAUGACAGGAGGGAUUAGACGGGGAGGUAGUACAGGCAGGCUGGGUGUGGUUGAGAGUGGGGAGGAGACGGAAGAGGCGGAAUCAGGACGACUCUAAGGAUUCUGACCAUCAAGAUACAUGUGUACAAAUAGUGUUGCUUGUGAAAUUCAAAAGCCGAAUGAUCUAAAUGGCCAUCAGCGAAGAUGAAUAAAUAAAUUGUUGUGUAUGAAUUUGAGGGACUACAAUAUAGCAGUGACAAAAAAUGAAUGAAUGCUACACACAGUACCAGGGACAAAUAUUAGAAAUGUAAUGGUGAGCGAAAGCAGCAAGACACAAGAGCGAAUGGCAGUAUAAUACACUUUACAAGGAGUUCAAGAAAAGAAAAUCUAUAAAGUACAUUGUAGUAGGAAAAGAACCUCCCAAAGAUGUUUGCGUCCUAAUAUCUGGAGCCUGUGGUUGUGUUACUUUACAUGGCAAAAGAGAGCUUGCAGAUGCGAUUAACUUAAGGAGCUUGAGGGACUUCCCCGAUGGUCCAGUGGUUAAGAAUCUGCCUGCCCUGAUCCCUGGAAGAUUCCGCAUACUGUGUGGCAACUAAGCCCACAAGCACAACUGCUGAGCCCUCAUGCCCCAGAGACCAUGCUCUGCAGCAAGAGAAGCCAGCGAAACACAACUAGAGAGGAGCCCCUCUCGCCGCAACUAGAGAAAGCCCAUAUGCAACAGUCGAGGCCCAGCGCAGCCAAUAAGUAAACAAAAAAUUUUAUAAGGAAUGGUGGAAGGAGAGUUACAGAAGUUUUAAAAGUAAAUUGAUAACCAAAAAUUAUACACAAGACACAGGUGUCUCUUGUUUUGGAGCCCAGUCACAGAUAUUUUGGGAUAGGAUGAUAGCCAGUGGGCCUCUGCUGUGAAGUCCAUGUGGUGUGAGUCUCCAGAAGUCUUCCCAGUACCCACCCUUACAAUGAGCAAGUGUAAAAUAGGCUAGGGGCUGAUCCAAAUAGAGUCCUUCCACAGGGAAGAGGGGGUGUAGCCAAAUGCACCAGAAACACAUUGCGGGUGUUUAAACAAAGCCAUUCAAGGGGCUUGUCUCAUUGCAGUAUCAGCGACAGACUGCAUUACCUAUAGACACUUGCUGUUACCCAGAAACACUUGCCACAGAGACCCUUGCAUUUUCCAGGACUAAAUGACCCAGACACUCUUGCUGCCACCAGGGAAUUACCCAGAGACCCUUGCUGCCACCCGGGCAUUACCCAGAAACCCUUGCUGCCACCAGGGCAUUACCCAGAGAUCCUUGCUGUCACCUGGGCAUUACCCAGAGACCCUUGCUGCUACCCGGGCAUUACCCAGAGACUGUUGCUGCCAGCCAGGCAUUACCCAGAGACGCUUGAGUUGCCUAGGACUGCAUUACCUACAGAUCUUUGCUGUUGCCCAGGAAAUACAAUCCUGACAGUCAGAGAUCCUCUCACUUUGGGCUUCUCUUUUUUUUCAAAGGUUACCGUUAAGGAAACUGCAUUCUAGGUUGUCCUUGCUUCUUCAAAAUGUCAUUACAGCUUAGGCUCAUAUACGGUCUUGCAUGUGGAUAACUGCUUUACCUUUUUAAUCACAAGAAGAAUAAGUUCUUGUUAUACAAAUUCAGAUAGUAUGGGUUAUCUUUUAUUAAAUCCCAUUGUCUUAUCAAGAAGUAGGAGAAAAGAAGAUAAGCAAGCCAGCAAAUCUCUAACACCUGCUUCCUAGGGUAGACUAGAUAAGACAGAGAAGUUCAGUUCAGUUCAGUUCAGUCGCUCAGUUGUGUCCGACUCUUUGCGACCCCAUGAAUUGCAGCACGCCAGGUCCCCCA